rnacentral:lncRNA from 1 species
UCACUCUUUACAUUUUAGCAUUUCCUUUGAGCAUUUACUUCCUGCAAUUUACUUAUCUUUUUGCUCUUGUUCAUGAUAUGCUUAUAUUUUGCCUUAGGAAAUGAUGAUCAUGUUAGUGUGCUCUCCUUGCUAGCUUUCUUAUUUGCUAGUGUGCUUAGUUUCUAGUUUGAACCUCGUAGAUUGGGCAACACUAGAAAUUAAGGUUAAGGUUUGAUUUUAUUAUUCUAGAAAUUUG